UACGUAGGGGGCAAGCGUUGUCCGGAUUUAUUGGGCGUAAAGAGCUUGUAGGCGGCCAUACAGGUCUGCUGUGAAAACUCGAGGCUCAACCUCGAGACGUCGGUUGAAACCGUAUGGCUAGAGUCCGGAAGAGGAGAGUGGAAUUCCCGGUGUAGCGGUGAAAUGCGCAGAUAUCGGGAAGAACACCCGUGGCGAAGGCGGCUCUCUGGACCGUAACUGACGCUGAGGCGCGAAAGCGUGGGGAGCAAACAGG
rnacentral:rRNA from 1 species